AUCGCCAGCUGACCGAGCCGGAAAGCGAUACAUCUGUUAAAUCGGCUAAGGAGCUGCGAUGCCCUCGAUAAAAUGGGAACCAGGUGUCAGCUUCCACAGGUUUCCCAAAGAUCUUCGUCGAAAGAGGCUCUAAAUCGAGCCAACGCGACUGGGAACCAACGAAAUGGUCUUUUGCAUGUGUGCUCAAAACACUUCCCACCUAAGCACUUCAAUCGGGCGGCGCCAGUGGCAGUUCGCCUUCGUGAGGAUUGGAAAGAUAGGUAAAUUUACUGCAUGCUGAUUCGUCAGUAUAUUGCACAGGCGAGUGUACAGGAAAUGGAACAAAGUUUUAGUGAGUGCAAGCGUUGCUAUUAAGUUUUUCAAAUAAACUUCCAGUUACGCGCUUCAA